AUGAUGGGAGGGGGCCGGGCCAUAUACACUCAUAUGGGCCCGCCCCUAAGCUCUCUCCCUCUGCCGUUCCCCCCCCUCCGCCCCACGCAACCAGGUCAGGCCUCUCCGGUCUCCACUCCCCCUUCCCCCCAUUAUCCCCAAUGGGUCCGUGCCGUAACCCGCUCCCCCGGAGGGAACGCGUGCUCUGCGGAAAUGAGUCCCCUGGGAAACGCGAUCCGCUUCACUGGCGUUCCGCCCUUGCUUUGGUUCCUACGGCCUACAGAGCCGGAGGAAGGCGAUCCCGGGAAGGGGGGGGGGUGGUGUCCUCAGAGGGGUGGGGACGUGUCAGCUGUGUCUCCACGGAGGGCUGUGUGUCCCCCCCCUACAGGUGGAGCUGCUGCUGCUGCUGCUCGUGUACCCCCGUGGGCGCCCCCCCCCACCACCCAAAACGAAGGGGGGCUGCGGGGAUACCUGAGAGUAUUGGCUCGGGCGCCCGGCCCCCCCCGGCCCAAAGCGUGCAGCCGCUACCUGCGGCGUUUGGCUGCCCGGAGCCUGGGGGGGUUACGGGAGGGCUUUGGCACGAUGGGGAGCCCCGGAGGGGGGUUACGGCUUUGCCUCCGUUUGGAGCCCGACAACGCGAUGCCUCCACAUCCUGCCGGUGCUGCUGCAGGUGGGGGGGGGGGCUCAGGGCUGAUCGGUGCGGUUGGAGUCGGGGGGAGCAGAAUUAAGGCUCACCCUGCGCCCCUCCCGGUUUCCCCCCCCACACUCCGUCCCUUUCACCUGCUGCUUUUCCCUUUUUGUCUUGCUUUUCCCUUUCACUGCUGCUUUUCCCUUUCAUGCUGCUUUUCCCUUUCACUGCUGCUUUUCCCUUUCACUGCUGCUUUUCCCUUUCAGUCUUGCUUUUCCCUUUCAGUCUUGCUUUUCCCUUUCAGUCUUGCUUUUCCCUUUCAGUCUUGCUUUUCCCUUUCAGUCUUGCUUUUCCCUUUCACUGCUGCUCUUCCCUUUCAUGCUGCUUUUCC
rnacentral:lncRNA from 1 species